GCAUUGGUGGUCCAAUGGUAGAAUUCUCGCCUUCCGCGCAGGAGACCUGAGGGUUCGAUUCCCGACCCAUGCA
rnacentral:tRNA from 1 species